UCCCUGGUGGAGUAGUGGUUAGGCCUUGGCGCGUUCACCGUCGCGGCCCAGGUUUGAUUCUCGGCCAGGGAG